rnacentral:siRNA from 1 species
CCAAUUGGCGAAAAUGUGUGG